GACGAAGGUGGCGAGCGUUGUUCGGAAUCACUGGGCGUAAAGCGCACGUAGGCGGCGGCGUAAGUUGGAUGUGAAAUCCCCCGGCCCAACCGGGGAACUGCGUCCAGUACUGCGUUGCUUGAGGAUCCAAGGGGUGCAUGGAAUUCCCGGUGGAGCGGUGAAAUGCGUUGAUAUCGGGAGGAACUCCGGCGGCGAAAGCGGUGCACUGGUGGAUUACUGACGCUGAGGUGCGAAAGCCAGGGGAGCAAACGGG
rnacentral:rRNA from 1 species